UACGGGGGGAGCAAGCGUUGUUCGGAUUUACUGGGCGUAAAGGGCGCGUAGGCGGUCGUGACAAGUCACUUGUGAAAUCUCCGGGCUUAACUCGGAAAGGUCAAGUGAUACUGUCGGACUAGAGUACAGAAGGGGCAACUGGAAUUCUCGGUGUAGCGGUGAAAUGCGUAGAUAUCGGGAGGAACACCGGUGGCGAAGGCGGUUCUCUGGGCCUUACCUGACGCUGAGGAGCGAAAGCGUGGGGAGCGAACAGGG
rnacentral:rRNA from 1 species